CACGGUUGAGUUCAACCGUGGUAGAUGUUAAAAAUAUCUACCACGGUUAAAUUCAACCGUGGUAGUUGUUAAAAAUAUUUACCACGGUUGACCUCAACCGUGGUUGUUGCUAAAGGGGAAAUAGAAGGGGGAAAAUAGUCGGGGAAAUAAAAGGGGGGAAAUAACCCGCUAAAUUUUGAUAAAAAUAUCUACCACGGUUGGACCCAACCGUG
rnacentral:pre_miRNA from 1 species